GUGGUACCCGCUUCGGCAGCACAUUUACUAAAAUUGGAAUGAUACAGAGAAGAUUAGCAUGGCAGGUGAUGACAUGCAAUUCAUGAAGUGUUCCAUAUUUUU